rnacentral:rRNA from 1 species
UUUUGGACAAUGGGCGAAAGCCUGAUCCAGCAAUGCCGCGUGUGGGAAGAAGGCCUUCGGGUUGUAAACCACUUUUGUACGGAACGAAACGGUCUGCUUUAAUACAGUGGGCUAAUGACGGUACCGUAAGAAUAAGCACCGGCUAACUACGUGCCAGCAGCCGCGGUAAUACGUAGGGUGCGAGCGUUAAUCGGAAUUACUGGGCGUAAAGCGUGCGCAGGCGGUUAUAUAAGACAGUUGUGAAAUCCCCGGGCUCAACCUGGGAAUUGCAUCUGUGACUGUAUAGCUAGAGUACGGUAGAGGGGGAUGGAAUUCCGCGUGUAGCAGUGAAAUGCGUAGAUAUGCGGAGGAACACCGAUGGCGAAGGCAAUCCCCUGGACCUUACUGACGCUCAUCACGAAA